GCCAGACUCCUACGGGAGGCAGCAGUGAGGAAUAUUGGUCAAUGGGCGGGAGCCUGAACCAGCCAAGUCGCGUGAGGGAAGACGGUCCUACGGAUUGUAAACCUCUUUUGCCGGGGAGCAACGGGGUCCUUGCGAGGGCCCAAUGAGAGUACCCGGAGAAAAAGCAUCGGCUAACUCCGUGCCAGCAGCCGCGGUAAUACGGAGGAUGCGAGCGUUAUCCGGAUUUAUUGGGUUUAAAGGGUGCGCAGGCGGAGGUGCAAGUCAGCGGUCAAAUUGCGGGGCUCAACCCCGUACUGCCGUUGAAACUGACGCCCUUGAGUGAGUGAGAAGUAAGCGGAAUGCGUGGUGUAGCGGUGAAAUGCAUAGAUAUCACGCAGAACGCCGAUUGCGAAGGCAGCAUGCCGGCUCCACACUGACGCUGAGGCACGAAAGCGUGGGUAUCGAACAGGAUUAGAUACCCCGGUAC
rnacentral:rRNA from 1 species